CGGAGUUGCCUUUUUGCUUUCUUUUAUUUUUUUUGUUUUUCUGGAUCAUUCACUUAUUUGCAUCGGUCCCCUGCGUAGAGGAUGCGUAGGCCGGAGCUGACUGCUGAGAUAAACUACUAAGGACUUAUACAGAAAUGAUGAUUAAGGCCAUGGUAUAUGGGGUUUCGGGAAUGAUUCCUAUAUUUACGAAGCUUAUGGUGCUAAAACAGAUACUGAUGUUUCGCAAAGUUCUC
rnacentral:lncRNA from 1 species